ACGACGCUGGCGGCGUGCCUAAUACACGCAAGUCGAACGGUCUUUCUAUGGAAGCUUGCUUCCACUGAGAAGAUAGUGGCGAACGGGUGAGUAACACGUGGGUAACCUGCCCAUAAGAGGGGGAGUAACAUCCGGAAACGGGUGCUAAUACCGCAUAGUUUUCUUGAUCGCAUGAUCGGGAAAGGAAAGACGGCCUUUGUGCUGUCGCUUAUGGAUGGACCCGCGGCGUAUUAGUUAGUUGGUGAGGUAACGGCUCACCAAGACGAUGAUACGUAGCCGACCUGAGAGGGUGAUCGGCCACAUUGGGACUGAGACACGGCCCAAACUCCUACGGGAGGCAGCAGUAGGGAAUCUUCCGCAAUGGACGAAAGUCUGACGGAGCAACGCCGCGUGAGUGAAGAAAGGUUUUCGGAUCGUAAAACUCUGUUGUCAGAGAAGAACAAGUUGGAGAGUAACUGCUCCAGCCUUGACGGUAUCUGACCAGAAAGCCACGGCUAACUACGUGCCAGCAGCCGC
rnacentral:rRNA from 1 species